AGUGGCAGAGUGAGGGAAGGAAGGGAUGACUGGUGACAGAGUGAGAGAGGGGGUGACUAGUGACAGAGUGAGAGAGGGGGUGACUGUCACUAGUCACCCCAUCCCUCUCUCUGUCACUAGUCACUCCCUCCCUAACUCUGUCACUGUCCCUCACUCUGUCACUGUCACCCCGUCCCUCACUCUGUCACUAGUCACCCCCUCUCUCACUAUGUCACUAGUCACCCCCUCCCUCACUAUGUCACCCCCUUCCUCACUCUGUCACU